UGUCCGUGUUUAGUGUCCAGGUGUGGAGUGGAGCUUGUUGUUGGUGUGUGUGAAGAAACUGAACCAACCUGGACCUCCACCCAGCUGCGUGUCCUUAAAGAGUGAUGCGUCUAAAGAUGCAAUCAUUAAUUUUAAAGUCCAGCAGGCGUCUGCUGCAGAGAGCUGAAGAAGAUCCAGAAGGUUCUGAGUCCAGAUUACCCAGAAUGCUUUGAGAGUCGGAGAGAGGAUGAUGAGGAGAGGAGCAGCAGAGAGGCAUUUGUGAAGAUCACAGUGGAAGAAAAUGAAGCAGGAGGAGCUGGCUGAGCGUCUGCAGAGCAAAAACCCUGCAGUUUGUCAACGUAACCUUAAAUCUACUCUGAAGAAGAAGUUCCAGUGUGUGUUUGAGGGGAUCGCUAAAGCAGGAAACCCAACCCUUCUGAAUCAGAUCUACACAGAGCUCCACAUCACAGAGGGAGGGAC